rnacentral:rRNA from 1 species
ACGCGUAGUCAACCUAACCUAUGGACGGGAAUAACCUCGGGAAACUGAGUAUAAUGCCCGAUAGAACAUUAUACCUGGAAUGGUUUAUGUUCCAAAUGAUUUAUCGCCGUAGGAUGGGACUGCGGCCUAUCAGUUUGUUGGUGAGGUAAUGGCCCACCAAGACUAUUACAGGUACGGGCUCUGAGAGGAGUAGCCCGGAGAUGGGUACUGAGACACGGACCCAGGCCCUAUGGGGCGCAGCAGGCGAGAAAACUUUGCAAUGUGCGAAAGCACGACAAGGUUAAUCCGAGUGGUUUCUGCUAAAGGAACCUUUUGUCGGUCCUAGAAACACCGAUGAAUAAGGGGUGGGCAAGUUCUGGUGUCAGCCGCCGCGGUAAAACCAGCACCUCAAGUGGUCAGGAUGAUUAUUGGGCCUAAAGCAUCCGUAGCCGGCUCUGUAAGUUUUCGGUUAAAUCUGUACGCUUAACGUACAGGCUGCCGGGAAUACUGCAGAGCUAGGGAGUGGGAGAGGUAGACGGUACUCGGUAGGAAGGGGUAAAAUCCUUUGAUCUAUUGAUGACCACCUGUGGCGAAGGCGGUCUACCAGAACACGUCCGACGGUGAGGGAUGAAAGCUGGGGGAGCAAACCGGAUUAGAUACCCGGGUAGUCCCAGCUGUAAACUAUGCAAACUCAGUGAUGCAUUGGCUUGUGGCCAAUGCAGUGCUGCAGGGAAGCCGUUAAGUUUGCCGCCUGGGAAGUACGUACGCAAGUAUGAAACUCAAAGGAAUU